UGAUCGCCACUCUCCCAUUCUAACGGCUU
rnacentral:sRNA from 1 species